rnacentral:rRNA from 1 species
GGCUAACGGGUGAGUAACACGUGGGUGAUCUGCCUUGCACUUCGGGAUAAGCUUGGGAAACUGGGUCUAAUACCGGAUAGGACAGCUGUUUAGUGUCAGUUGUGGAAAGUUUUUUCGGUGCAAGAUGAGCUCGCGGCCUAUCAGCUUGUUGGUGGGGUAAUGGCCUACCAAGGCGUCGACGGGUAGCCGGCCUGAGAGGGUGGACGGCCACAUUGGGACUGAGAUACGGCCCAG